GGGUGUGAGGGUGAUCUGGCUGCGAUAUCUGUCACCCCAUUUAUCUCCAGGGUUUAUUAGGCCGAUCUGGCUAACUAGGCGGAUGUCCCCUUUCUUCCUUUAGCACUCUGUGUGCAUCCCUCCCAAAGCUGUUUGCUCCAUUGAAGAGGAUGACCUUCCUCACUAGAGGAGGAUGGGUCUUCAGUCAAGGGCAUAUGAGUAGCUAUGCUCCUCUGCUAGAUCCUCCAAACAUGAGUUUGCUGUGUUCUGCUUGUUGAAUGAAGACCACUAUUAGUGAUCUGCUUUUUCAAGACUAGCAGUCUUG
rnacentral:snRNA from 1 species